CAGGUACUGUUAGCAUUUGAGGUGAAGUUCUGUUAUACACUCAGGCUGUGGCUCUGAAAGUCAGUGCAUCACAGAACUUUGUCUCGAAAGCUUUCUA
ensembl:miRNA Mir148b microRNA 148b